GUACUUGCUUCGGCAGCACAUAUACUAAAAUUGGAAAGAUACAGAGAAGAUUAGCAUGGCCCCUGCACAAGAAAUACUCAGAUUAGAACAUAGGCUGCUUCUCUUUUC